rnacentral:rRNA from 1 species
UACAGAGGGGGCAAGCGUUAUUCGGAAUUAUUGGGCGUAAAGGGCGCGUAGGCGGCCUGGCAAGUGGAAGGUGAAAUCCCUCGGCUUAACCGAGGAACUGCCUCCCAAACUGCUUGGCUUGAGACCAGGAGAGGUGAGUGGAAUUCCCAGUGUAGCGGUGAAAUGCGUAGAUAUUGGGAGGAACACCAGUGGCGAAGGCGGCUCACUGGACUGGUACUGACGCUGAGGCGCGAAAGCUAGGGGAGCAAACGGG